rnacentral:rRNA from 1 species
CCUACGGGAGGCAGCAGUGAGGAAUAUUGGUCAAUGGGCGGGAGACUGAACCAGCCAAGCCGCGUGAGGGAAGAAGGUACAGCGUAUCGUAAACCUCUUUUGUCAGGGAACAAAGGCGGGGACUAGUCCCCGGAUGAGUGUACCUGAAGAAAAAGCAUCGGCUAACUCCGUGCCAGCAGCCGCGGUAAUACGGAGGAUGCGAGCGUUAUCCGGAUUUAUUGGGUUUAAAGGGUGCGCAGGCGGCCUGUUAAGUCAGCGGUAAAAGCCCGGGGCUCAACCCCGGCGCGCCGUUGAAACUGGCGGGCUGGAGUUGGAGAGAAGUACGCGGAAGGCGCGGUGUAGCGGUGAAAUGCUUAGAUAUCGCGCAGAACCCCGAUUGUGAAGGCAGCAUGCCGGCUCCACACUGACGCUGAGGCACGAAAGCGUGGGUAUCGAACAGGAUUAGAUACCCUGGUAGUC